rnacentral:rRNA from 1 species
UACGUAGGUCCCGAGCGUUGUCCGGAUUUAUUGGGCGUAAAGCGAGCGCAGGUGGUUUAUUAAGUCUGGUGUAAAAGGCAGUGGCUCAACCAUUGUAUGCAUUGGAAACUGGUAGACUUGAGUGCAGGAGAGUGGAAUUCCAUGUGUAGCGGUGAAAUGCGUAGAUAUAUGGAGGAACACCGGUGGCGAAAGCGGCUCUCUGGACUGCAACUGACGUUGAGGCCCGAAAGCGUGGGGAGCAAACAGG